GGACCCGCACAAGCGGUGGAUGAUGUGGAUUAAUUCGAUGCAACGCGAACAACCUUACCUACCCUUGACAUGUCCGGAAGGCUGCUGAAAGGCGGUUGUGCCCGCAAGGGAACCGGAACACAGGUGCUGCAUGGCUGUCGUCAGCUCGUGUCGUGAGAUGUUGGGUUAAGUCCCGCAACGAGCGCAACCCUUGUCCUUAGUUGCUACGCAAGGGCACUCUAAGGAGACUGCCGGUGACAAACCGGAGGAAGGUGGGGAUGACGUCAAGUCCUCAUGGCCCUUAUGGGUAGGGCUUCACACGUCAUACAAUGGUCGGUACAGAGGGUAGCCAACCCGCGAGGGGGAGCCAAUCCCAGAAAGCCGAUCGUAGUCCGGAUCGCAGUCUGCAACUCGACUGCGUGAAGUCGGAAUCGCUAGUAAUCGCGGAUCAGCAUGUCGCGGUGAAUACGUUCCCGGGUCUU
rnacentral:rRNA from 1 species